rnacentral:miRNA from 1 species
GCUUUACAGCGAGGCAGGAGGAGGGACGGACGGGAGCAAGCAAAGCGAGAGCCGCUUACAUGGCUUCUGUCCCGCUUUGCGCCGCUCUCACUUUGCUUGCCCAUCCCUCCUCCUGCCUCGCUGUAAAA